rnacentral:rRNA from 1 species
UACGAAGGGGGCUAGCGUUGUUCGGAAUUACUGGGCGUAAAGCGCACGUAGGCGGAUUUGUUAGUCAGGGGUGAAAUCCCGGGGCUCAACCUCGGAACUGCCUUUGAUACUGCAAGUCUCGAGUCCGGAAGAGGGGAGUGGAAUUCCUAGUGUAGAGGUGAAAUUCGUAGAUAUUAGGAAGAACACCAGUGGCGAAGGCGGCUCACUGGCCCGGUACUGACGCUGAGGCGCGAAAGCGUGGGGAGCAAACAGG